AGAUCAAUGAUGAGAACUCAUAUGGUCUCAAAAAGAGAUCAUGACCUAAAAAUCAUGCUCAAUAGGAUUAUGCUGAGGCCA
rnacentral:snoRNA from 1 species